UUGAUGGUUCAGUGGUAGAAUUCUUAUCUUCCAUGUGGGAGACCCAAGUUCUAUUCCUGGUCAA
rnacentral:tRNA from 1 species